AUCUACAGCUAUGCCAUCCUGAAUGUGCCUGAUCUCGUCUGAUCUCAGAAGCUAAGCAGGGUUGGGCCUGGUUAGUACUUGGAUGGGAGACCACCUAGGAAGACCAGAUGCUGUAGGCA
rfam:Pteropus alecto contig17795, whole genome shotgun sequence.